AGUCUGUAGUGACCUGGGUCGUGUGCUGGAAUCUGUGUGGGUCCACUAUGGGUUGCAGGAGCUCCAAAACGUGCAGUGUAGAGCCGUUCCUGGACGAAAAUGAGCGCGUGCACAGCUCUGCUCGUGGAGACUCUGCCGCGUCCAAUAACACGACAGACAGCGGCUUGGGCCUCGAGCCGCCAGAGGGCGCUACUGUCCGAGGAAUCAAUCAGAACAUGUUGUCUCAACUCACAGCCCCCAGUCCUGGCCUGGCUAGUUCUUGUGCAAACAGGCUUGACUCGAGUGAAAUCUUGGAGCAGCUGCUGAGUCAGGGCAUCAUCCCAGCCCAGUCCAGACAUGCUUCUAGCGGUGAGGCCUACAGCCUGAUGAUGAAGGAUGAGAUUAGGACCAAGAAGCGGCCACCACUUUUCCUGGAGUCACUGAAAUUAAAGAGGGGACAAGGAGUGAUGACAAAGGAGGAACUGGAUGAGAGGAUGAAACGAGUAGAGGAACGGCGUCAGGCCAAAGAGGAGAAGCUGAAGACCAGACUCAGGGCCAAAUCGGCCCGGCUGCACCCAGCGUGCCAUCCCACUGGGAGAAAGGAGAGGGAAACCCCCAUACUCACUUCCGUCAUGAGCUGCAGCACGGACCCAGAGUAGACUCCACAGGAAGGAUUUCUGAACAUGAAGACUGACUCCACCUUCCAGCAGGCUGAGAACACAGAAUGUAUGUUUUAGCCUGGAUCUCCACACAUAUUUUAGUUCUUAAUUUAGUGAAAUGAAAUAAGCUUGUAGGACAGAAAGGUUUUUAAAUUUUGCAAUACGUCAAUCACUCCCAAUAUCUGGUGAAUCUGAGUUGACUCUGGACUGAAUGUGUGUGUGUGUGCAUGCAUGCAUGUAUGUCUGUGUUGUUUUACUGUGGAAGCAUUUGCAUCUAUCUCGCCAUCACUUUAAAAUGACAAUGUUGCCAAUGUUGUAACUCAAUGUUGUAAUUUCAGAUGUUGAUUUUUGAUUAUUACUCUACGUUUUGUGCCACAUGUAUGAGCA
rnacentral:lncRNA from 1 species